rnacentral:rRNA from 1 species
UACGAAGGGGGCUAGCGUUGCUCGGAAUCACUGGGCGUAAAGGGUGCGUAGGCGGGUCUUUAAGUCAGGGGUGAAAUCCUGGAGCUCAACUCCAGAACUGCCUUUGAUACUGAGGAUCUUGAGUAUGGGAGAGGUGAGUGGAACUGCGAGUGUAGAGGUGAAAUUCGUAGAUAUUCGGAAGAACACCAGUGGCGAAGGCGGCUACCUGGCAUGAUACUGACACUGAGGCGCGGAGAGCGUGGGGAGCAAACAGG